AGAGUUUGAUCCUGGCUCAGGACGAACGCUGGCGGCGUGCUUAACACAUGCAAGUCGAACGAUGAAGCCUAGCUUGCUAGGUGGAUUAGUGGCGAACGGGUGAGUAAUACGUGAGUAACCUACCUUUAACUCUGGGAUAAGCCUGGGAAACUGGGUCUAAUACCGGAUACGACCAAUCUCCGCAUGGGGUGUUGGUGGAAAGCGUUAUGUAGUGGUUAUAGAUGGGCUCACGGCCUAUCAGCUUGUUGGUGAGGUAACGGCUCACCAAGGCGACGACGGGUAGCCGGCCUGAGAGGGUGACCGGCCACACUGGGACUGAGACACGGCCCAGACUCCUACGGGAGGCAGCAGUGGGGAAUAUUGCACAAUGGGCGCAAGCCUGAUGCAGCGACGCCGCGUGAGGGAUGACGGCCUUCGGGUUGUAAACCUCUGUUAGCAGGGAAGAAGAGAGAUUGACGGUACCUGCAGAGAAAGCGCCGGCUAACUACGUGCCAGCAGCCGCGGUAAUACGUAGGGCGCGAGCGUUGUCCGGAAUUAUUGGGCGUAAAGAGCUUGUAGGCGGUUUGUCGCGUCUGCUGUGAAAGGCCGGAGCUUAACUCCGUGUAUUGCAGUGGGUACGGGCAGACUAGAGUGCAGUAGGGGAGACUGGAAUUCCUGGUGUAGCGGUGGAAUGCGCAGAUAUCAGGAGGAACACCGAUGGCGAAGGCAGGUCUCUGGGCUGUAACUGACGCUGAGAAGCGAAAGCAUGGGGAGCGAACAGGAUUAGAUACCCUGGUAGUCCAUGCCGUAAACGUUGGGCACUAGGUGUGGGGGACAUUCCACGUUUUCCGCGCCGUAGCUAACGCAUUAAGUGCCCCGCCUGGGGAGUACGGCCGCAAGGCUAAAACUCAAAGGAAUUGAC
rnacentral:rRNA from 1 species